rnacentral:lncRNA from 1 species
GCAGGUUAAUAAUAUAACAAAAUAAAAACAAAAAACAUGGCUCUCAGGUAUUAAACAGAAACUCAUAAACCCCUCAGCAACGAGGUAACUGAAAUUGGUCAAAGGUCCAAAAACAAAAACACAAAACACAUAAAUUUUAGUGACAUUUUUUCUGGACUAGGCCAAAGCCCCAAACUUUCCCGUUCUGCUCGGCCCAAUACCUACGAGACAGACCGGCACAACUCGGGAUCC